ensembl:lncRNA
GGCUGUGUCCCAAUUCCUAGGACGCAUCCUUCGAAGGCUGCAUUCGAAGGAUGCGUCGACGCCGAUUGCGUCACAGCGUCGCGCCAAGUGCUGUCCCAAUUCCAAGGGUCCUUCAAAUGCGGCCUACGAAUGCAGCCUUCUUUUCCCGGAUUUGAAGGAUGCAUCGGCUGUAUCCUUCACGGCCCAACGCAUCCCAAGAUCCUUCACGGCCCAACGUAUCCCUCCCAAGAUUCAUUGCGCAUUCAAUCAAUGGAGAUGGCGGAGAAUGGCGAUUUAAGUUCUGCAUUUAAAUGUAAGUAUUGGGUUUCUAGUCACUCGAGUAUUUAACGAUACAAAUGUUAAAAAUACAAGGGCCCUUAAAACUUUUUUCAUUAAAGUAAUAGGCAAUAUAAGUAAGGUAACGUUACAGUUAGUGACGCUGUAACGUUAACUAAGAACACCCGUUAAGCCCUAUAGUUUCAAAUUUAAGAGGUUAAAAUGGUUAUAUUUACCGAAAUUGUGGCGAUUAUAUAGAUAAUUUGCUAUUCUGUAAGGUUAGAUAAAUGGACCAACGCGAACACAGGUUGUGGACCCUGGUUUUCAGACCGUAACGUUACAGACGUUGGGAUUGAUUACACAGUUAACUUGGUUAUUUUGCUAUUUAAGCUGCUUUGGUUUGGUAGUGUAAAGCAAAACUAAUUCUAACAUUUGGUUUUGGUUUAGGGGGCCAGCAGCAUACUGCUCGAUUUAUUCUAUUGAGGGGGAGAAUGAUGAGCUGUUCACCGGGGUGAAAUACUCAGCAAGUGUGGCUUGGGGGUAAAGAAACAAUCGUUUAUUUAUAUCGACAAUUCUGGAGAAAAUAGGCCUGCAGGGGAAGGUGUCUCCCCCGCAGGCAAAGAAAAACUUUUGCUGAAAUUUGUUUUGAUACUGCUCUUGUUGUUAACUGCCAUGAUUGAUUUCCUCUGCCUUAGGAUUGCAAGUAUCCAGGGUCAGGAGAGGGGGUAGGUGGGAAACCCACUGCUGCCACUUGGCCCUGGUUUGUCCCCUUGGAUAAGGUACUGUGACAUAUGCAUUCCACCAACCCCCCUGUCCUAAUUGCCUCCAUCCCUGAGAACACACCAGGGCCAAGUACAGCAAGUACAGCAGUGGUGGAUCAGGAGGUUGAGGACAAGAUCAGGAGGAGGAAAGACAGCGAGGGCCAAGGUCCAGAAAGAGGGACAGAGAGGAAGACAUGUUCCAGAGUCGCUCACUAUCUUCCGAAAAGGACUCAAGAUUCACCUGUUGAGAGUCCACCUCGACUGCAUAGCCACCCUCCCCCUUUGGGCAACCAUUGUACCCUGUGUUGUAUUGUAUUAUAGUACUUAACUGUGUAGCAACUGCAGUAGCUGCUAUCAUGGCUGUAA